GGAAGGGUAGCGAAGAGGCUAAAGCGCGGCGGACUGUAAAUCCGCUCCUUCGGGUUCGGGGGUUCGAAUCCCUCCCCUUCCA
rnacentral:tRNA from 1 species